rnacentral:sRNA from 1 species
CAUCAUACAUAGAGCAAGUCCCGGAAGCUAAUCCAGCAAAAGCAGGAACUAAGACACACAGGAAUCAAAACACCAUACACAGACCAACACCAGAAGUCAUUGCAGAGAGAUCAGGAACUCAAAGGAAGCAGCUGGAUGCAAAAACAGUUCUGAGCAAGGUAAUAUGAAGCCAAGUAAGAGUGAAGCUAACACUUGUGAGCGACCUUCUUACCUACCAAAAUUUUGAGACCUGGUCUGUCCCUGGGUCUGAAGCUCACUGAUUCAGCAAGUCCUGGGGAUCCUCUUAUUCCACAUCCUCAGCCCCGGAAUGACAGUAUGUUGGUGUAACACCCCCAAUUUGACAGUAGAUGUGAAGACUCAGGACUGAGGAUAAGCAUCUGUUAGCUUCAGCAAGUCAGCCAGGCAAGUCUUCCUCCCUCAAGCAUCAGCUGCCAAGUUUACCUCAUCUAUCACCAUCUUAUCUAUCACCAUCUUAGUUGGAUCACCAAUGACACUGCUGAAUGAACUGAAGACGUUGUGAGGCUUCACUUGUGGCAGAAAAACACUUCCAAAUAUGGUACUAAAGAAAUAAUGCCAAGGUACAGGUAAGAAAAGAUCCUGGGGAGGUAAGAGUAGGCAGAAAUUCUCCACAGGGAGGGAUGGAAAUCGAAGAUCUCUUAGUCUAACCGUCUGAAUAUUUAUUAAGUUCAGGAAUUUAUGCUGGUGAGUUUACAUAUAUGGUUGUAGACUUUUGUUUCCAAGGGUCUUUUAAGUUCAGAGGUGAUAUAAAAAUACAUAUGUACAAGAAUUUAAGGUAAGAAACAGGACAUUUUGUUAGAAUAGAGGGAGAAGCUGAAGAAUCACCUUGACCACCAUGUAAAGAAGUAAAUACCUCUAAGGACUAGAAAUGUCAGGAGAGAGGCUGGGAGUUGGUUCAGUGAGUGUAUCUUAGUUAGAGUUUCCAUUGCUGA